ACUCAAAUGAAUUGACGGGGACCCGCACAAGCGGUGGAGCGUGUUGUUUAAUUCGAUGAUAAGCGAAGAACCUUACCCAGGCUUGACAUCCUUGGAAUUUCUUCGAAAGAAGAAAGUGCUUUUAGAGCCAAGUGACAGGUGUUGCAUGGCCGUCGUCAGCUCGUGUCGUGAGAUGUUAGGUUAAGUCCUUCAACGAGCGCAACCCUUUUGUUCAGUUGAAUUUCUCUGAACAGACUGCCCUGGUAACAGGGAGGAAGGGGGGGAUGAUGUCAGGUCAGUAUUACCCUUACGUCUGGGGCUACAAACACGCUACAAUGGCCGGUACAAAGGGCAGCCAACCCGCGAGGGGGAGCAAAUCCCAUCAAAACCGGUCUCAGUUCGGAUUGCAGGCUGAAACUCGCCUGCAUGAAGCUGGAAUCGCUAGUAAUGGUAGGUCAGCACACUACCGUGAAUACGUUCCCGGGUCUUGUACACACCGCCCGU
rnacentral:rRNA from 1 species